GUCUUUUUGAGUUAUUUUUAAAGUCUGACCUGCCCACUGAAUAUUUUUAAAUGGCCGCAGUAUUCUAACUGUGCAAAGGUAGCAUAAUCAUUAGUCUUUUAAUUGAAGGCUGGUAUGAACGGUUGGACGAAGUAUAAGCUGUUUCAUAUAAAAUUAUAUUAGAAUUUUAUAUUUUAGUUAAAAAGCUAAAAUAUUAUUAAAAGACGAGAAGACCCUAUAAAUCUUUAUAUUUAAUAUUAUUCAAAUUUUUUUGAUUAAUUUUAUUUUUAUAAUAUUAAAUAUUUUGUUGGGGUGAUAUUAAAAUUUAACAAACUUUUAAUUUUGAAUUAGAACAUUAAUUUAUGAAUAGUUGAUCCAUUAUUAAUGAUUAUAAGAUUAAGUUACUUUAGGGAUAACAGCGUAAUUUUUUUUGAGAGUUCAUAUCGACAAAAAAGUUUGCGACCUCGAUGUUGGAUUAAGAUAUAUAUUUAGGUGUAGCCGUUUAAAUAUUAAGU
rnacentral:rRNA from 1 species